AGAGUUUGAUUCUGGCUCAGAUUGAACGCUGGCGGCAUGCCUUACACAUGCAAGUCGAACGGCAGCAUAGGAGCUUGCUCCUGAUGGCGAGUGGCGAACGGGUGAGUAAUAUAUCGGAACGUGCCCUAGAGUGGGGGAUAACUAGUCGAAAGACUAGCUAAUACCGCAUACGAUCUACGGAUGAAAGUGGGGGAUCGCAAGACCUCAUGCUCCUGGAGCGGCCGAUAUCUGAUUAGCUAGUUGGUGGGGUAAAAGCCUACCAAGGCAACGAUCAGUAGCUGGUCUGAGAGGACGACCAGCCACACUGGGACUGAGACACGGCCCAGACUCCUACGGGAGGCAGCAGUGGGGAAUUUUGGACAAUGGGGGCAACCCUGAUCCAGCAAUGCCGCGUGAGUGAAGAAGGCCUUCGGGUUGUAAAGCUCUUUUGUCAGGGAAGAAACGGUAGUAGCGAAUAACUACUACUAAUGACGGUACCUGAAGAAUAAGCACCGGCUAACUACGUGCCAGCAGCCGCGGUAAUGUUAAUGUAAU
rnacentral:rRNA from 1 species